rnacentral:rRNA from 1 species
GACGAACGCUGGCGGCGUGCUUAACACAUGCAAGCCGAACGAUGAAGCCGGAGCUUGCUCUGGUGAAUUAGUGGCGAACGGGUGAGUAACACGUGAGUAACCUGCCCUUGACUCUGGGAUAACUGCUAGAAAUGGUAGCUAAUACCGGAUACGACCCUCGGAGGCAUCUUCAGGGGGUGGAAAGAAUUUCGGUCAAGGAUGGACUCGCGACCUAUCAGCUAGUUGGUGAGGUAAUGGCUCACCAAGGCGACGACGGGUAGCCGGCCUGAGAGGGUGACCCGCCACAAGGGGACUGAGACACGGCCCAUACUCCUACGGGAGGCAGCAGUGGGGAAUAUUGCACAAUGGGCGCAAGCCUGAUGCAGCAACGCCGCGUGAGGGAUGACGGCCUUCGGGUUGUAAACCUCUUUUAGUAGGGAAGAAGCGAAAGUGACGGUACCUGCAGAAAAAGCACCGGCUAACUACGUGCCAGCAGCCGCCGUAA